CAAAAUAUAGCUUAAUUAAAGUGAUUCGUUUACACUGAAUAAAUUUUGUGAAAAUCAAAUGUUUUGA
rnacentral:tRNA from 1 species